rnacentral:lncRNA from 1 species
UGCAUCUCCAAUUAAUAGUGAGUGGCCAGAAUGUGAGCUGACGAUCCAUUGUGACAAAACCUCAGAAGAAAAUUUUGAAUUUGUGAAUGGCUUUUAGCAGAAAUGAGGCAGAGAAAGGCUUGCAGAAACCCAGAGAAGAGCAUCUUGGUAGUUUAUCAUGUGACAUGUCUCCCUGGAGGAAAAGCCUGGAGACCCAUUUUAACAGAAAGGCAGGUCUCUGGAGCCCCCUGGUCUGCCAGAACCAUCAGAAUGGCAGUACCACUGAGCCCUUCAUCCGAUCCGGCCAAUAAAAAUAAUAUGAUUGCUUGUAACCAGGCAUUGUAUUGCCGACUAGCAAAGAACCAGCGGGAAAUACAAGAUCUGAAAGAGAUAGUUCAUCAUUUCAGCUUCAUCCUCCACCAAGAGGAAAACAAUUAUAGUGAGGGCCAAGAGGUGAUUCAAUCCAGGCUAAGGGCGAAGCCAGCACUUGGAACUCCACAGCUUGAGAAGCUGGCACCUGCAGAGUUCAAGAAAUGCCAUGUAAAUAAGGCACGCACCCGCAAGUGGCACCGGCUACGUAAGAAGUCAAGAAAACAGACACAGAUUUGUCAUCUCAGCCUACAUCCCAGAGCCCUCCUCACCCAGCAUGACCCUGACAGCCACCACACACGGGGCUUGCUGGAGCCACUGGUUGUUCAUGUCAGGCUGGAAAAGCAUCUUGUCUACAAAUGUAGCCUGGCAAAAGAAAUGACGCAAAUGAAGGGUGGUUGCUGGGACUUAAUCUGCCCCAGCAGGAUCAGUGGGUGCUUUCCACCUCAAGUAGAGCCUGAGUUGGUACCAGGGCUGAUCAUGGGUGAAUAUUGUUGGUGCAUCGUCAUGAAAGCCAAGCUGGUUAUGCAGCAGCAUUAUCCUGGUGGUGGCUGGACGAUAGUGCUGGAAGAGUGCUCGUGGUGCACAAGGUUUGGAGUCUAUGGGAAUUCCCUUGAGGACAGAGUGCCACAUGAAGCCAAACCUGCAUUGUGUGAAAACCGAUCUCUAGCUGAAGGGCAUCGCAUCAUGGCAUGCACACACCUUGCAGAUGUACCUUACAUGUGGCAUGCCUCCUGGGGGGACAAGCUGGAAAUACUGUUCCAGGCCUGGGCCAGGGUCCAGCAGCCCCUAGCCCAGCAGUCCAUCCACUGGAUAGAGGCCAUUGAGGGGUAUGAUACCUCCUCCCAAAAGGACGAAGUGGUAUCUGCAGACAGAGCUGAGGUUAUCCCCAGGGUGUGUGGAGAUCCACCCCCACUGGAAGGGCCAGACACCAUCGUGCCCAUCCUCAAGGAAGAUGGAUCCUACCUGCUCUGUGGAUUUUGGGCUGAUGAGCCUGAAGCACCAGCCCAGGCCUGGUCUGAGACUGUGAAAUGUACAAUCCAGCAGCCCGUCUGCUGUGCUGAGGCCAAUGUGGUGGAAGACCUUUCCUACAAAAGGAGGAAGGGGAGGUGGCAACUGCAGUCCAGGCUGAGCCUAUCCCCAGGGUGUGUGGAGAUCCACCCCCACUGGAAAGGCCAGAUGUCAUCCUGCCUAUCCUGAAGGAUGACAGAUCCUACAUGCUCUGUGGAUAUUGGGCUGAUGGGUCUGGAACACCAGUGCAGGUUUCUGCUGAGCCUUGGCACCUUACAACCCAGCAGCCCAUCUGCUGUGCUGAGGCCAUUGUGGUAGAAGAUGCCUCAAACCAAAAGGAGAAAGGAGAGGUGGCAUCUCCAGACCUGGCCGAGGCAAACCUCAGGGUGUGUGAAGACCCACCCCCACUGGAAGGGCCAGAUGUCAUCGUACCUAUCCUCAAGGAUGAUGGGUCCUACAUGCUCUGUGGAUUUUGGGCAGAUGAUGAUGCUGAAGCUCCAAUCUGGGCCUGUGUUGGGGCCUGGCAUCCUACAAUCCAGCAGCCCAUCUGCUGUACUGAGGCCAUUGUGGUGGAAAACCCCUACCACCAAAAGGAGGAAGUGGAGUUGGCAUCUACAGACCAGGCCGAGGCUAUCCCCAGGGUGGGUGAAGAUCCACCCCCACUGGAAGGGCCAGAUGCCAUCGUGCCUGUCCUCAAGGAUGACGGGUCCUACGUGCUCUGUGCAUAUUGGGCAGAUGAACCUGAAGCACCAGACCAGGCCUGGGCUAGGGCCUGGCACUUUACAACCCAGCAACCCCUCUGCUGUGCUGAGGCCAUUGUGGUGGAAGACUCCUCAAACAAAAAGGAGAAAGUCAAGGGGGCAUCCUCAGAUCAGGCUGAGGCUAUGUCCAGUCCUCUGCAUUCACACCUCAGGGUGGGUGAAGAUCCACCCCCACUGGAAAGGCCAGAUGUCAUCGUGCCUAUCCUCAAGGGUGACGGAUCCUACCUGCUCUGUGGAUUUUGGGCUGAUGAUCCUGAAGCACCAGUCCAGGCCUGUGCUGAGCUCUGGCACAUUGCAACCCAGAAGCCCAUUUGCUGUGCUGAAGCCAUUGCGGAGGAAGAGUCCUCCUGCAAAAAGGAGGAAGGGGACUCAGCAUCUGCAGAGCAGGCCGAGGCUAUACCCAGGGUGUGUGGAGAUCCACCCCCACUGGAAGGGCCAGAUGCCAUCGUGCCUAUCCUCAAGGAAGAUGGAUCCUACCUGCUCUGUGGAUAUUGGGCUGAUGAGCCUGAAGCACCAGUCCAGGCCUGGGCUGGGGCCUGGCACUUUACAACCCAGCAGCCCAUCUGCAGUGAUGAGGACACUUUGGGUGAGUCCAUUGAUAUGAUUCUUGUUGCAGGUAUGAUAAACCUAUGAGCAUCCCAAUGACCCUAGUUGCUUGCUCUAAGCCCUGGGGAAAGGUGGUGAUGUGGUAGGCUUUCCCCAGGGCUACAUCUGGAUGGACUAAGGCAGAACCCUGGGUGGAGUUUGCAGCAUGGAUGUAGUCUAGGUAGGUGUUUCUUGCCCCAGCCCUGUGCCAUGACCCUGCCAUUUCUCCCAGGAAAUCUGUACUCCUGGCUACCUUCUCAGCCCAAGAUCUUAACCAGAUGCUCUUGAAGUGGGCUGUUCAUUCUCUUGUUCCCAUGGUGGAGACUGCACUUCCCCUCUGGAACACUUAACCAUGUACUGGGGGUUCCAUCCUGAGGUUGUCAAUGCUGGCCCCGUGCAUCUCGGGAUCCACUAGGACCACAGUGUCUGCAUGGCACCAAAAGGCGCCUGUGUGUGGGAAGCUCUGUGGGUUUCCCAUGUUCAUUUUAUGGCAGGGGAUAGUAACCAGGGAGUCCCCACAUUGCCUGCAGGAUCAGAUGAGCCUCUAAUUGUGCAGUUGAACACUGAGACACCUAAGAGAGCCAGGGGAUUGAAUGUGGCUGACCCCUGUGGGAGAUCAGGAUGCCCAAUGAGUGAGUUGACACACUCUCAGACAGGGAGGGAGAUUUCCAUUGUUGGGCAGAGGACUUGUCAAAACAGCCAUGUCCUUAUGGUUUGGUUCUGUCGCUAACCAAGAUAGUACCACAACCAGACAGCAUAGAUAUCCUUGGAAUCUGGUGUGACAGUAGGCGGUACCUGUGAUUUAGCAUGCCCUCACAU